rnacentral:rRNA from 1 species
GACGUAGGCGGCGAACGUUAUCCGGAAUUAUUGGGCGUAAAGGGUGCGUAGAUGGUCUGAUAAGUUAGCAGUGGUAAAUCGAGGCUCAACCUCGUGGAAACUGGUAAUACUGUCAGGCUUGAGUGCAGGAGAGGUUAACGGAACUCCCUGUGGAGCGGUAAAAUGUGUAGAUAUAGGGAAGAACAUCAAUAACGGCGAAGGCAGUUAACUAUUCUGCUACUGACAUUGAGGCACGAAAGCGUGGGGAGCAAAAAGG